UAUCACAUUCCCUUCUAAUAAAACUAAACAAAAUACCGAACAGUCAGACCCCACACAAGGGGAGUGUGCCGCUUAUUAACCACCCAGAUGCUGUGGUUAACCACACCUAUUUGGCGAACGGCUGGGUGGUCACUGUUCGUAUGAGCGAACACGUGGCGACGGCCAUCUUAAACUGACGAACGCACAGCGGUGUUUGGUCAUCGACAGCAUGGAACCAUUUUCGGACACUAUUUCUCACAAACACCGCUGGGACUUUCAACCUUUAACAUUCAAACUCCCGAACGAGACCGACCCCAGAUAGCUAAAUCCAUGGAGCUAUUUUUUGAACAGAUUUCUAACGAACAGUCGGUAAAAGACUCUUUAGCUCCAUGGCGAUUUGACUGUGUUCAUGGGAUCUGAGUGCUGUUCGGC